CUGGACAGAAGGACAGACGGCCGAGGGAAAUGAGCAUAACUUCUCAGCUUGGCCACCUUCCAUGUGAUGGAGCAAUGUAGCCGACUUGUGGGUUGACUUAGGCUUGCAUCACCAUCCUGACCCGGGUUGCAUCGGCAGUCAUCUGGAACUGACUACAUGCCUGAACUGAUAAAAGAUGCUGUGGAAAUACGGAUCUCUGGGGCCUUUGCAAGAUGCUUGUGCCAUAUCCUGUCUCUUUGUUCCCUGGUCCUCUGGAGGACAAAAGAGUGAGAAUCAGCAGUGUGUCACUUAUCCUGCAAACACUUUGAGAACUGCUUUGACAGCCAGUGGAAGAAAAUAGUGUGAUGUGGUCACAGCAAGCACGUGUUCUUUCUAACAAUUUACAAUUGCACAAUGAUCCCAUUGAGAGUGAUACUCAAACCUCCCUCUGAUUACCUGUUCUUUUCUCUUUCUGUAACAACAUUGUUUCUUUCCAACACAGGAGUGUUUAUGCAGAAAUGUCAAGAUUCUUUACACAGAUUACAGUAGGUUUACAAAUUAAGGAAAAACUGGUAUGGAACAAGAGGAAAAUAAUCCCAGCAUUUUGCACUUAAUUGUAAUCAAAAUCCUGUCUUUGGAGGGUGUUAUGUCAAAUAUACACUUGGUGAGGCCUAUGAGGAUUUUCCCUGUGUAACGGCAAGAGUUAGCCCUAGCAUAUCACACUAUUCUAAAAAUGGUGUCCAGUAAGCAAUAGGUGGCCACUCUUGGAAAAAAAUCAGGAAAAAAUUGGUGAAACCUGGAUCCUCUGCAGUGUCACUUUCACAGUUGAGUGACUGACAAACAAAAGCAAAGAAAAAGACCCAGUGGGCUAAAUCACCAUGAGGUUGGAUUCCCCCUGUUGUGGAAUUGAACAAAAUCCAGCAACGUUCCCUUCUAUUAGGUCUGAUGUAAAUGCUGUAUGGUAAAGACUAAUUUCUAAAAGUCAGCUGUAAACCUAUAGGUCAGCCAAUAAGACAGAGACUCGACACAUUUUUCAUUGUGAAGUGUAUGAUAGUUUCAAGCCUUUAAUCAACGUCACUGCAGACAGUAUAUUGUUGAAUCCAAUGGAACUGGAAUCCUGCUAUGAGUUUAAUUGUUUUCCACAAGUAGAACAGAAGCCUUUGAUUUCUGUUAAUUAUGUAUCUACGUGAAAAACUAUUUUGUGUGUAUAUAUAUUUAACAACAGGAAAUGUAACACAUAUUUGUUUUUAUUAAACUAAUAAAAG
rnacentral:lncRNA from 1 species